rnacentral:ncRNA from 1 species
AUAUAUACAUUGAUGAAGAAGAGUAGUUCUAUUUUUAUUUUUUAGAGAGAUGAUGUUAGGUGAGAAUCAUUAAUAAGGUAGAAUGAAGGGAGCUUUUGAGUAUAGAGUUUAGAAAGUUGGGCUUUAGCCAAGAAGGGUGGAACCGCGGAAAGAUUUUUCGUCCCUUUA